GUGCCAGCCGCCGCGGUAAUACAGAGGUGGCAAGCGUUGUUCGGAAUUACUGGGCGUAAAGGGCGCGUAGGCGGUCCCGUCAGUCCCUUGUGAAAUCCCCCGGCUCAACUGGGGAACUGCAAGGGAUACAGCGGGGCUUGAGUUCGGGAGAGGGAAGCGGAAUUCCGGGUGUAGCGGUGAAAUGCGUAGAUAUCCGGAGGAACACCGGUGGCGAAGGCGGCUUCCUGGACCGAUACUGACGCUGAGGCGCGAAAGCUAGGGGAGCAAACGGGAUUAGAAACCCUCGUAGUCC
rnacentral:rRNA from 1 species